UACGGGGGGAGCAAGCGUUGUUCGGAUUUACUGGGCGUAAAGCGCACGUAGGUGGUUUGUUAAGCCAGCUGUGAAAUCCCCGGGCUCAACCUGGGAAUUGCGGUUGGAACUGGCAAGCUAGAGUAGGGUAGAGGGGUGUGGAAUUCCAGGUGUAGCGGUGAAAUGCGUAGAUAUCUGGAGGAACAUCAGUGGCGAAGGCGACACCCUGGACUCAUACUGACACUGAGGUGCGAAAGCGUGGGGAGCAAACAGG
rnacentral:rRNA from 1 species